AGCGAACGCUGGCGGCGCGUUUUAAGCAUGCAAGUCGAACGGUAGGGUACCUUCGGGUGCCUGAGAGUGGCGAACGGGUGAGUAAUAUAUAGGUAACGUGCCCUAGAGAGGGGGAUAACAUUUGGAAACGAAUGCUAAUACCCCAUAUGCCUUUAAGUCUUAAGACUGCAAGGGAAAUAUUUAUAGCUCUAGGAUCGGCCUGUACGGUAUCAGUUUGUUGGUGAGGUAAUGGCUCACCAAGACUAUGACGCCUAACUGGUUUGAGAGGAUGAUCAGUCACACUGGAACUGAGACACGGUCCAG
rnacentral:rRNA from 1 species